GAAAUGCGAUAAGUAAUGUGAAUUGCAGAAUUCAGUGAAUCAUCGAAUCUUUGAACGCACCUUGCGCUCCUUGGUAUUCCUUGGAGCAUGCCUGUUUGAGUAUCAUGAAAUCUUCAAAGUAAAUCUUUUGUUAACUCAAUUGGUUUCUACUUUGGUAUUGGAGGUCUUUGCAGCUUCACACCUGCUCCUCUUUGUUCAUUAGCUGGAUCUCAGUGUUAUGCUUGGUUCCACUCGGCGUGAUAAGUUAUCUAUCGCUGAGGACACUGUAAAAGGUGGCCAAGGUAAAUGCGGAUGAACCGCUUCUAAUAGUCCAUUGACUUGGACAAUACUUUUAUGAUCUGAUCUCAAAUCAGGUAGGACUACCCGCUGAACUUAAGC
rnacentral:misc_RNA from 1 species